UACCUUUAUCAAUUGACGUUACCCGCAGAAGAAGCACCGGCUAACUCCGUGCCAGCAGCCGCGGUAAUACGUAGGUCCCAAGCGUUGUCCGGAUUUAUUGGGCGUAAAGCGAGCGCAGGUGGUUUCUUAAGUCUGAUGUAAAAGGCAGUGGCUCAACCAUUGUGUGCAUUGGAAACUGGGAGACUUGAGUGCAGGAGAGGAGAGUGGAAUUCCAUGUGUAGCGGUGAAAUGCGUAGAUAUAUGGAGGAACACCGGUGGCGAAAGCGGCUCUCUGGCCUGUAACUGACACUGAGGCUCGAAAGCGUGGGGAGCAAACAGGAUUAGAUACCCCUGGUAGUCCCACGCCGUAAACGAUGAGUGCUAGAUGUAGGGAGCUAUAAGUUCUCUGUAUCGCAGCUAACGCAAUAAGCACUCCGCCUGGGGAGUACGACCGCAAGGUUG
rnacentral:rRNA from 1 species